AUGGGCUAGAGCGGGGCUAGGGGUCCCGGCAUCGCAAAUCCCCUUAGGCGACUCGAAGGUCUGGGGCGUUUUGCCGUGGAUGUAUGCCCAGUAUCUUAAGCGUUGACGUCCUGCCUUAUGUGGCGGGAUUAUAUAUGAACCGGGUCAGAUCGGAAGAAGCAGCCCUAAAUGUAUCGUUCCGUGCUUAUAAGAUCCAGGAUUGAGUAGCGGAUAUUGGCUCCUUAUAUUCAUGUCAAGGCUAACUGGAAAGCCCAC
rnacentral:SRP_RNA from 1 species